CGAAAAGGGCGUUUGGUGGAUGCCUUGGCAGUAAGAGGCGAUGAAAGACGUGAUACUCUGCGAUAAGCCAUGGGGAGCUGAGAAUAAGCUUUGAUCCAUGGAUUUCUGAAUGGGGCAACCCACCUGAAUGUUUGUUAUUGUUACCCUUUUGGGUGUCAAUAAUGAGCAUAAACAGGUACUUAUUACCUGAAUACAUAGGGUUUUAAGAGCAAACCCGGGGAACUGAAACAUCUAAGUACCCGGAGGAAAGGAAAUCAAUUAGAGACUCUGUUAGUAGCGGCGAGCGAACGCGGACCAGCCAAGCCUGAUAAGUGACCAGAAUGACCUGGAAAGGUCAGCCAUAGUGGGUGACAGCCCCGUAUGGGAAGCUUUGAAGGAUGUAUUAAGUAGGGCGGGACACGUGAAAUCCUGUUUGAAGAUCGGGGGACCACCCCCGAAGGCUAAGUACUCCUUACUGACCGAUAGCGAACCAGUACCGUGAGGGAAAGGUGAAAAGAACCCCGGGAGGGGAGUGAAAAGAACAUGAAACCGUAAACUUACAAGCAGUAGGAGGACGACUAAAACGUCUGACUUCGUGCCUGUUGAAGAAUGAGCCGGCGACUUAUAAGUAGUGGCAGGUUAAGGCAGUGAAUGCUGAAGCCACAGUGAAAGCGAGCCUGAAUAGGGCGUUUGUCACUAGUUAUAGACCCGAACCCGGGUGAUCUAACCAUGGUCAGGUUGAAGCUUAGGUAAUACUAAGUGGAGGACCGAACCGACUGAUGUUGAAAAAUCAGCGGAUGAAUUGUGGUUAGGGGUGAAAUGCCAAUCGAACUCGGAGCUAGCUGGUUCUCCCCGAAAUGCGUUUUGGCGCAGCGGUAGAUGUUAUAGCUUAGGGGUAAAGCACUGUUACGUAUGCGGGCUGGUAAUUCGGUACCAAAUCGUUGCAAACUAAGAAUACUAAGUGUACAGUCUACCAGUAAGACUGUGGGGGAUAAGCUCCAUUGUCAAGAGGGAAACAGCCCAGAGCACCAGUUAAGGCCCUUAAAUAAUUACUAAGUGAUAAAGGAGGUGGGAGUGCAUAAACAAUCAGGAGGUUUGCUUAGAAGCAGCAAUCCUUUAAAGAGUGCGUAAUAGCUCACUGAUCGAGUAAACCUGCGCCGAAAAUGAACGGGACUAAGUAAUUUGCCGAAACUGUGCGAUAUAUUUAAAUAUAUCGGUAGGGGAGCGUUCUGUUGUAGGUCGAAGUAUUAGCGUAAGCGGAUAUGGACGAAGCAGAAGUGAGAAUGUCGGCUUGAGUAACGAAAAUAUAGGUGAGAAUCCUAUACCCCGAAAACCCAAGGUUUCCUCCGGAAGGCUCGUCCGCGGAGGGUAAGUCAGGACCUAAGGCGAGGCUGAAAAGCGUAGUCGAUGGACAACGGGUUAAUAUUCCCGUACCAUUUUUUAUUGACAACGAGGGACGGAGAAGGCUAAGCUAGCCGGAUAUUGGUUACCGGUUUAAACGUUCGAGAUGUUGAGAAGCGGCGAAAACGCUUUGAGUUGAGACGUGAAUACGAGAUGCUAAGGCGUCGAAGUAGUGUAUGUCAUACUUCCAAGAAAAGCUUGCACUGUCAUAAAUAAAAAAUGCCUGUACCAUAACCGACACAGGUGGGUAGGUAGAGUAUACUAAGGGGCGCGAGAUAACUCUCUCUAAGGAACUCGGCAAAAUAACUCCGUAACUUCGGGAGAAGGAGUGCCUUAUUUAUAAGGCUGCAAUAACAAGAUCCAAGCAACUGUUUAUCAAAAACACAGGUCUCCGCUAAGUCGUAAGACGAUGUAUGGGGGCUGACGCCUGCCCAGUGCCAGAAGGUUAAAGAAGCCGGUUAGCAUUAGCGAAGCUGGUAACUGAAGCCCUGGUGAACGGCGGCCGUAACUAUAACGGUCCUAAGGUAGCGAAAUUCCUUGUCGGGUAAGUUCCGACCCGCACGAAAGGCGUAACGAUCUGGAUGGUGUCUCAGAGAGAGACUCGGCGAAAUAGGAAUGUCUGUGAAGAUACGGACUGCCUGCACCUGGACAGAAAGACCCUAUGAAGCUUUACUGUA
rnacentral:rRNA from 1 species